GACAGAGGGUGCAAACGUUGUUCGGAAUUACUGGGCGUAAAGCGCGUGUAGGCGGCUUCGCAAGUCGGAUGUGAAAUCCCACGGCUCAACCGUGGAAGUGCAUUCGAAACUGCAAGGCUAGAGUUCUGGAGAGGAAGGUGGAAUGCUUGGUGUAGAGGUGAAAUUCGUAGAUAUCAACGCGGAACUCCGGUGGCGAAGGCGGCCUUCGGACAGUAACUGACGCUGAGACG
rnacentral:rRNA from 1 species